rnacentral:rRNA from 1 species
UUACGGGAGGCAGCAGUGGGGAAUCUUGCGCAAUGGGCGAAAGCCUGACGCAGCCAUGCCGCGUGAAUGAUGAAGGUCUUAGGAUUGUAAAAUUCUUUCACCGGGGACGAUAAUGACGGUACCCGGAGAAGAAGCCCCGGCUAACUUCGUGCCAGCAGCCGCGGUAAUACGAAGGGGGCUAGCGUUGCUCGGAAUUACUGGGCGUAAAGGGAGCGUAGGCGGACAUUUAAGUCAGGGGUGAAAUCCCAGAGCUCAACUCUGGAACUGCCUUUGAUACUGGAUGUCUUGAGUGUGAGAGAGGUAUGUGGAACUCCGAGUGUAGAGGUGAAAUUCGUAGAUAUUCGGAAGAACACCAGUGGCGAAGGCGACAUACUGGCUCAUUACUGACGCUGAGGCUCGAAAGCGUGGGGAGCAAACAGGAUUAGAUACCCGAGUAA